rnacentral:lncRNA from 1 species
GGGCAUUAAGGCGACGGAAGGUUGUAAAAUAAGGCGUGGGCCCACUCUCUCGGGAAUAAUCCUCCACGUCGGCAGGCUCACUCCCGCUUACGUGGCAGGAUUAGCGGUGCACCCCACACUGCACACCCCAUUGAGGGAUCUUGUUGAAGGUCUCGGCGGCGAUAUUGUGAUUCCGGCCGGCAAGGGUGCCCCCUAAAGGUGUCGGCCGUUGAGGUGGUGGUGGCACCCCCACCGGAAUAACCAUCACACACAUUCUCUAACUCGGAGCGCGCGCUUUGAGGUGAGUUAGAGGGCAACGAUGUUGUGAACACGUUACAUAUUUAAGUGCUGGCUUGACAGAGCAGCAGCCGCUAUUGGGCCUUGUGGUGUGGGGGUGUUGCUCCGAAUCGCCGGCGCGUGUUGGGUCUCAAGCCUUAUUCCUCAACCGAACCUCGACCUUUUGUAAUUAAUUCCUUUCAAUUGUACAAACAUAGGAACACAAUGUACAGCCCAACCUUUUGUAAUUAAUUCCUUUCAAUUGUACAAACAUAGGAACACAAUGUACAACCCAGGCCUAUGUUGAUAAGUAUUGUCUAUCAAGCUGGAGAACUGGCC